GGGUUGUGAGGUUAAGCGACUAAGCGUACACGGUGGAUGCCCUGGCAGUCAGAGGCGAUGAAGGACGUGCUAAUCUGCGAUAAGCGUCGGUAAGGUGAUAUGAACCGUUAUAACCGGCGAUUUCCGAAUGGGGAAACCCAGUGUGAUUCGUCACACUAUCAUUAACUGAAUCCAUAGGUUAAUGAGGCGAACCGGGGGAACUGAAACAUCUAAGUACCCCGAGGAAAAGAAAUCAACCGAGAUUCCCCCAGUAGCGGCGAGCGAACGGGGAGGAGCCCAGAGCCUGAAUCAGUGUGUGUGUUAGUGGAAGCGUCUGGAAAGGCGCGCGAUACAGGGUGACAGCCCCGUACACAAAAAUGCACAUGCUGUGAGCUCGAUGAGUAGGGCGGGACACGUGGUAUCCUGUCUGAAUAUGGGGGGACCAUCCUCCAAGGCUAAAUACUCCUGACUGACCGAUAGUGAACCAGUACCGUGAGGGAAAGGCGAAAAGAACCCCGGCGAGGGGAGUGAAAAAGAACCUGAAACCGUGUACGUACAAGCAGUGGGAGCACAGAGCAAUCUGUGUGACUGCGUACCUUUUGUAUAAUGGGUCAGCGACUUAUAUUCUGUAGCAAGGUUAACCGAAUAGGGGAGCCGAAGGGAAACCGAGUCUUAACUGGGCGUUAAGUUGCAGGGUAUAGACCCGAAACCCGGUGAUCUAGCCAUGGGCAGGUUGAAGGUUGGGUAACACUAACUGGAGGACCGAACCGACUAAUGUUGAAAAAUUAGCGGAUGACUUGUGGCUGGGGGUGAAAGGCCAAUCAAACCGGGAGAUAGCUGGUUCUCCCCGAAAGCUAUUUAGGUAGCGCCUCGUGAAUUCAUCUCCGGGGGUAGAGCACUGUUUCGGCAAGGGGGUCAUCCCGACUUACCAACCCGAUGCAAACUGCGAAUACCGGAGAAUGUUAUCACGGGAGACACACGGCGGGUGCUAACGUCCGUCGUGAAGAGGGAAACAACCCAGACCGCCAGCUAAGGUCCCAAAGUCAUGGUUAAGUGGGAAACGAUGUGGGAAGGCCCAGACAGCCAGGAUGUUGGCUUAGAAGCAGCCAUCAUUUAAAGAAAGCGUAAUAGCUCACUGGUCGAGUCGGCCUGCGCGGAAGAUGUAACGGGGCUAAACCAUGCACCGAAGCUGCGGCAGCGACGCUGAUGCGUUGUUGGGUAGGGGAGCGUUCUGUAAGCCUGUGAAGGUGUGCUGUGAGGCAUGCUGGAGGUAUCAGAAGUGCGAAUGCUGACAUAAGUAACGAUAAAGCGGGUGAAAAGCCCGCUCGCCGGAAGACCAAGGGUUCCUGUCCAACGUUAAUCGGGGCAGGGUGAGUCGACCCCUAAGGCGAGGCCGAAAGGCGUAGUCGAUGGGAAACAGGUUAAUAUUCCUGUACUUGGUGUUACUGCGAAGGGGGGACGGAGAAGGCUAUGUUGGCCGGGCGACGGUUGUCCCGGUUUAAGCGUGUAGGCUGGUUUUCCAGGCAAAUCCGGAAAACUAAGGCUGAGGCGUGAUGACGAGGCACUACGGUGCUGAAGCAACAAAUGCCCUGCUUCCAGGAAAAGCCUCUAAGCAUCAGGUAACAUCAAAUCGUACCCCAAACCGACACAGGUGGUCAGGUAGAGAAUACCAAGGCGCUUGAGAGAACUCGGGUGAAGGAACUAGGCAAAAUGGUGCCGUAACUUCGGGAGAAGGCACGCUGAUAUGUAGGUGAAGUCCCUCGCGGAUGGAGCUGAAAUCAGUCGAAGAUACCAGCUGGCUGCAACUGUUUAUUAAAAACACAGCACUGUGCAAACACGAAAGUGGACGUAUACGGUGUGACGCCUGCCCGGUGCCGGAAGGUUAAUUGAUGGGGUCAGCGCAAGCGAAGCUCUUGAUCGAAGCCCCGGUAAACGGCGGCCGUAACUAUAACGGUCCUAAGGUAGCGAAAUUCCUUGUCGGGUAAGUUCCGACCUGCACGAAUGGCGUAAUGAUGGCCAGGCUGUCUCCACCCGAGACUCAGUGAAAUUGAACUCGCUGUGAAGAUGCAGUGUACCCGCGGCAAGACGGAAAGACCCCGUGAACCUUUACUAUAGCUUGACACUGAACAUUGAGCCUUGAUGUGUAGGAUAGGUGGGAGGCUUUGAAGUGUGGACGCCAGUCUGCAUGGAGCCGACCUUGAAAUACCACCCUUUAAUGUUUGAUGUUCUAACGUUGACCCGUAAUCCGGGUUGCGGACAGUGUCUGGUGGGUAGUUUGACUGGGGCGGUCUCCUCCUAAAGAGUAACGGAGGAGCACGAAGGUUGGCUAAUCCUGGUCGGACAUCAGGAGGUUAGUGCAAUGGCAUAAGCCAGCUUGACUGCGAGCGUGACGGCGCGAGCAGGUGCGAAAGCAGGUCAUAGUGAUCCGGUGGUUCUGAAUGGAAGGGCCAUCGCUCAACGGAUAAAAGGUACUCCGGGGAUAACAGGCUGAUACCGCCCAAGAGUUCAUAUCGACGGCGGUGUUUGGCACCUCGAUGUCGGCUCAUCACAUCCUGGGGCUGAAGUAGGUCCCAAGGGUAUGGCUGUUCGCCAUUUAAAGUGGUACGCGAGCUGGGUUUAGAACGUCGUGAGACAGUUCGGUCCCUAUCUGCCGUGGGCGCUGGAGAACUGAGGGGGGCUGCUCCUAGUACGAGAGGACCGGAGUGGACGCAUCACUGGUGUUCGGGUUGUCAUGCCAAUGGCACUGCCCGGUAGCUAAAUGCGGAAGAGAUAAGUGCUGAAAGCAUCUAAGCACGAAACUUGCCCCGAGAUGAGUUCUCCCUGACUCCUUGAGAGUCCUGAAGGAACGUUGAAGACGACGACGUUGAUAGGCCGGGUGUGUAAGCGCAGCGAUGCGUUGAGCUAACCGGUACUAAUGAACCGUGAGGCUUAACCUUACAA
rnacentral:rRNA from 1 species